rnacentral:misc_RNA from 1 species
UUGCUAAAGAAAACUAAAGACCCAAAAAAGGGUAUUUGAAACUAAGCCAUCAAUUUGCCAAAUGAAACAUGUCCAGAUUUGGACGUUUAUUAUACAGUAUUUUAUAUAUAUGCAAAUGUUACAUUGUGUUCAGGUUCUAAACAGUGGGAAAAAAGACAUGUAUAAUAGCCUGUGCCUAUCAGUAGGUACACUAGCAAGAAACCUGCCAUUUUCCCACAAAAAAUUUGAGCAUGUAAAAGUAAAACUAUGUUUGGUAAUUAAUAUAUUAUAGCAAUAAGCGUGAGUUUCAAGUACCCAUUAAAGGUCAUUGUAUGCAUGUUGAACAAAAUUGAUGACAAUUGCAUUAUUUCUGUGUGCUCUGACUGUCAGAAGUUAAAAUUUGACCUCAAUGGAGCCUGAACAAACCAUUUAUCAAUCUGAUACCAUUGCCUGCAUCAGGAGAAAGAAAAAGAAAUUUCAUAUCACACGUUAAAAAGGAAAAUGACACAAAAGCAUUUCAAGUACAAUUAACACCAGUCAAUGUAAAAUUCACUUGGUUUUACUUAAGGGCUGCAUAUAAUUAUUAGAUUAGAAAUUCUUAUACAAUUUAAUAGUAAAGCACAAAAGACAAUCCAAAUGAGCUCAAACAUGAAGAUUUAAACAGUGUAAACGUUAGGUAGGGUCAGACUCGUCAUAGUUGAACAAUUUUUGCUAACAUUUCAAAGUCCAAGUACCCAGAAUCUUAACUUCCAAAGAAACCGAUAUAUGUACUACAUUAGACCAGGUAAAUUCUACCCAUCUUUAAUCAGAAGCAACCAACACUACAGAAUGCUUGUGCAAUUAGAAAACAAAAUUGAUGUUCUAGUUUGACUUUUCUUUUUGCCAAAUUCACUAAAAUUUCCAUGUUUCUUGCCUGAGCAAGUAACUGAAUAUUAAUUUGUGGUUUUUUGACCUUUGAACGGUCUAAUUUGCAAGAUUGAAAAACUUAAUUUCAUCCAAAUUCUAGUUAGUCACAAACUUCAUAGUUGUGAAUAUCUGUCUACUUACUAGUUCAAAUAUUAUAAAACACAGGCUACAUAUUGGGAUGUUGCUCAAAUUAAAAGGAAGGCAGUGAAGUCAUAAUAAAGGAAGCCUGGGAAGCAUAGUCAGAAAAUGAAGUGCAAAUAUGACUAAAUGUAGUUCAUUGCAAAUGAAAUGUAAAUAUGAUGCAAUUAUGAGAUCUAAGUAUUAGACAAUAAUAUAAUACCAGCACUAUUCUGCAGCAGAUGUUCCCCUUGGUUUAUUCUUUCCCCUCCCUUUUCGUCUUUAACAUUUUUUUUUUUAUUUCUAUCAAAGCAUAACUCCUGCUUUUUUUCCCCCAUCAAAAGGAGGAUUGGAAUACAGGUUUUGUACAGAAUGCAAGGUGAGUCCAGUUUCAAGUAGUCUGGUUGGUCUUAGUGCAUGCAGGAUUAUCUAACCUCUCAGCAAAUAGAUUAUCUUCACAUUGGGCAACUAACUACAAUGGAUAAUGCUCAAAGCAAACCUAGCCAGGUUACUCUAGCUCUAAAAGAAAUAAUGUAGAACCAUAUAAGGGCUUCAAUGUUGUGGAAAAGAAUAAUCCAUACAGAAGCCCCUAAAAUUUAAUAGAAAAAAAAAAUCUAUGAAGUCCUCCAACUUUUAGUUUAACCUCGAAUUUUUUCUAAUCUAUUAACUUCUCCAAAAUCAGCUCUUGGGUGCUAAUUUGUUUUUCUUUUAAUUUUGUUAUUUUGAAGUUUUUUAAGUUUCGAUUAUGACGCUGACAAGGCAUGAUGAUAUGCAUUGCCAUAUAGCCUUUUUAAACAUAUGAAAGGAUAACUUAGUUUCAAUAAAUACAAAAAUUAAAAUUAAAGGUUCAAUAAAAAUAAAAGUUAGAAGGGCUUCGAUAUGAGUUAUUCCCCGUAGAAAAUCUAAAAUACAUUCAUGGAUGUCUUGAAGGAAAUAUAGUUCAUAUCAGUGACUAAAAUGAAGCGAAUGUCCCAAAAGUUAGUGCCACAAUGGAGGCCUUGCAAUCAAAUCCCAUCUUUAGUCAGGGAAUUAUUUUUAUUUUCCUUUGCUGUUUAUACUUCAAGCUUAAUAAAUGUUCAACAAUCCUGUAAGGAUCCUUUUAGACCAUGGGAAUAGAUAGACUGGAAAUUUACAACUGCUUUUAGAUGGUCAACAUUAGGAUUGAAAAUUAGAGAACUAGCAAGACCUCCAAUAUAUGAUAAGUUAACAUCACAAUAAAAAUUGAUACUGAAGAGAGAACUUAGGUUUCAGGUAGUGUAAUUCAUUUCUUUCUUUCAGUCCCACGGUAUAAUUUGCUGCAUCCUUGCUUGUAUCCUAUACUAAAGACAGUUAUCUCCUUGUCCUAAUAAGCCAUUCCCUUGAGAUAUAUCUGAAUCUGACAGAUAGUAGGAGCAUUGUGAGAUGCAAAAUCUGAUAUAAAUCUUACUUAUAAAUGCAUCUAGGCAUUGGCCAAUUGCUGAGCAUCAGACCAUAACAUCAGAGUUGCCAAAAGAGCCAUUGUUGCAGUUUCAACACGCAGACGAAGUGGACCAAGACCAACAGCUGUAGCACCUGCUUCCAUCAUCACGGCCAACUCUCUCUCUGUGAAGUCUCCUUCUGGUCCCACUAUUAUUAAUCCACUUGAUUCUUUUCUCGAUGAAGCCAAUACACUAACAACAGGAGUAGCUUCUGCUGCUGCCAGAAAGGAUAGCUUUGACUGGGCAAGCUAUAUGACAAGAAACAAGGAUUUUUACUUCAACAAAUUAUAAACAAGUGAAUAUUAAAACACUGAUUUGCACAUUCAUGGGAACAGUACAUAUUAUAGCAUUCCUUAAUGUUUUGGCAAACAAAAAUUGUUGAUGGUGUACAUAUUCCAUGGUUAAGAGUAAAGACCUGACAUCAGCCUGGAGAACAGCAGACCUGACCCAACCAAACUGCAAGACCCAGGCUUGGGCAACAUAUUUUUACUUGAGGCCUUGAGCCUAACCCAGCCUGACCUAUCCAUACAUGAGUAAGUUUGUUGUGUGAGGUACUCUCUUCCUCUUUCUUUAUCACUACCACUGCAAAAGACCUACGGUACUAUUUGCCACAUGGUUCACAGCAAUCAAUACAUAACCAAAACUUAUCCCUACCUAAAAUUCUAGCCAUCAACACACCAUCCAAAACCGUAGAACCCUUCACAUUUGUUUAGAAAUUUCUCUUUGUUAGCUAUUCAACAGAAUGCUUAAAAACCCUGGAUUUUCCUGCUGCCAAAAGAUCCUACAAACAGAACCAGUUAUUCCAGCCAGAAAAUGGCAGGUUUUUGCCCUGAACAUCAAUGAAAAUAAGCCCCAACAGGAUGAAUACCUGUCCUUGAACUAUAAGCCCCUUAAAUCUCUAAUUUAACACACCACAAGCUCAUAAGAUAGGUCUAAUAAACCUUUUGUGCUUCAACUAAGAUAAUAGCAAAUCUUUUAAGUAUAAAAAGAAGGGAAGAACAACUCACUAGAGGUAAGAGUCCAUCAAUUUUUGUAGGAGGAUUUAGAAUCAUUUCAUGCAGCCUUUGACCUAGUAUAGAGGUAUGCAUGAAAGAAAUGAAAAGAAGAUGAAGCCGAAGCUGAAUGAACACUUUUAGAUUAAAGAGCCAUAUAUGAACUGAAGUGCGUUAAAUACUCAGAAAUUUAAGAAGAUGAUAAUAAGUUGUGCAUGGAGAAAUUCACUAUAUCAAUUUUUUACAUUGUUUAGUUGCUGCUAGAAUGACGCGUUGCAAUCUGUCCACUCGGUUUUCUGAGAUUGAUGGAGAGUUUUCCGUCAACAGAGGGGUCACGCUACAAGCUCCCAACUCAGUGCAUUUCUCAACAAGCCAGUCAGCUCGACCACCUUUUAGAGUACCAAAUGCUGCAAAUACAUGCCACUUUGUAGUAUCAGGAGUAACUAACUUUGGAUCUCCUAAUGCCAGAAAAUCAAGUCCAGUACGGUCAAUCCUCUGAAUGCACCCUUCUACCAGACCUCCUUUCCCAUUGAAGAGCUCUACCCUAUCGUUCGUGCUCAACCUUAAAACUUUAGUCAUAUGCCAGAAUUCAUCAUCUUGUAUACGAACAACACCACCUUUGGAAGAAGGAAGAACUUCGGAGAAGAAACGAGGGAGGCUGUCACGGGACUGGUUCAAGUAAUCUGAUGAAGAAGAGAAUGCAAGGAGGCUCAAAGGUUUAAGCGACUGACGACUCAAGAACUCAGCAAAACAAGGCCGCUUUGGUAGUAGGAUUUGCAUUUGCAUUUCCCAGAAACCCAGCACAAAAAUUUCACCCACUUGCAUUGUCUUCCGGGUCCAUCCAGGGACAGCUACCACCUGCUCUGUGGGUUUGGGUUUAAAGGUCUACGUGUCUUUUCGUUAACACGACAUGUCGUGUAGUGCAGUUUUAAGUAUCUGCUCCGUAUGUAAGCGGUAAAUUACUUGAUGAGCAAAUGCACUGUUUUAGGUGCAUGAUGAUGUGCUGAAUCUACUGAUGUAAUUACAACAAACACAAUUACAAGCUGAAUUGGUACUCUAAAUACAAUUUAUAGAUUUCAUUUGAUUUCGUUCUUUCAUCAUUCAUACAGCCAAAAAGAACCAAAACAUAGUAUUUGCUAGUUUGCAAUACCAUAUGAUCCCCCCAUAUUCACUAGUGAUCACUACAAGGAAGGGAUCCUUACAUUAUAUAUAAGCCCAAAACCCACAGAAUCUACUCUUCUCCUUCAUUAUCAUCAUCAUCAACUUUCCCAUCUCCUUCAAACCCACCUCCCAAUUCACAUAUUAUCUCCCAAACCUCCUUCGAAAUAGGCACAACAGACAACCUAGGCUGCCUAAACAAAGCAAGACCCUUCAACCCUUCAUUGCUCUUCAGUUCCUUCAAGUCCACUGGCCUCCUCAUCUCUCCAACUGCCUUAACAUCCACCACAACCUCAUCAUCGGCAGUCUUAUAACACUCCUUCACUACAGACACUACACCAACAACGCGACGAGCACUGGCACCAGAGUGGUAGAAGAAGCAGAGGUCAUCAAGGCGCAUGGCCCUAAGGUUUUUCUGGGCUUGCUUGUUUUUGACGCCAUCCCAGUUGGUUAUGCCUCCAUUGGACGCUUGGUCAUCCCAUGACCACUCCCCUGGCUCGGUUUUGAGAAGCCAGUACUGAUUUUGGUUAUCCAUUUGCUUCUUUUUCUUACAGGAAGGGUUGCUUUGCCU